rnacentral:rRNA from 1 species
GCCCAAGAGAUCGGGAUAACACCUGGAAACAGAUGCUAAUACCGGAUAACAAUAGAUGAUGCCUAUCAACUGUUUAAAAGAUGGUUCUGCUAUCACUCUUGGAUGGAUCUGCGGUGCAUUAGCUAGUUGGUAGGGUAACGGCCUACCAAGGCGAUGAUGCAUAGCCGAGUUGAGAGACUGAUCGGCCACAUUGGGACUGAGACACGGCCCAAACUCCUACGGGAGGCAGCAGAC